rnacentral:lncRNA from 1 species
AGGUUCGACUGCGACCCUGCUCACCAUUGCCGUAAAGCGUCGCCCGCGUUACCCCGCCAAUACGACCCCAUUCCCCACUCGCCGCCCCGGCCCACCGUCGUGGGCGUCUCCUCGGAGACGCAAGGGAGGUAGAGUGCUGAGGUGGGAGGGGUUGAUCCUCGCCCCGCGUCGUGGGCGUCUCCUUGGAGACGCACUGGAGGUGGGGGCGCCGACGAAGGCGGGGUUGGGAAUCCGGUUCCUCGCUGUUGGCCCCGCCCAGGGGAGGGCUGAGACAGCCUCAGUUGGUCCCAGGAGUGAGACUGCGAGAGGUGAGAUUGGAAAGGUGACAGGAAACCUCACGCGAGCCCACUUGUCUCCCUUGUAGGGUUCAUGCCGCCGGCGACGAAAGUGAAGGAAUGGAAAAAAGGAAAUUUUACCAUUCGACAGUCGCAAAACUAGAGGAAAAAAGUUUAAGUGCAGUUAAGAAAAUCAAAGGGCUUGAUCAACAGCUUAUACAUUGCCUUGGUUUGGACCCAGAGUGCAAGCACAGACGAAGAGCGGACACUGACUUCACACUUCUGAUAGGUAUGGAAUACAGGCCUCAGUUGUGCUUUGAUCCUGUUUCCCCCUUCUGUACAGUAGGCUCCUCUCAAGGUAAG